rnacentral:rRNA from 1 species
CCCUGGCUCAGAUUGAACGCGGGCGGCAUGCUUUACACAUGCAAGUCGAACGGUAACAGGCCGCAAGGUGCUGACGAGUGGCGAACGGGUGAGUAAUGCAUCGGAACGUGCCCAGUCGUGGGGGAUAACGCAGCGAAAGCUGCGCUAAUACCGCAUACGAUCUAUGGAUGAAAGCGGGGGACCGUAAGGCCUCGCGCGAUUGGAGCGGCCGAUGUCAGAUUAGGUAGUUGGUGGGGUAAAGGCUCACCAAGCCAACGAUCUGUAGCUGGUCUGAGAGGACGACCAGCCACACUGGGACUGAGACACGGCCCAGACUCCUACGGGAGGCAGCAGUGGGGAAUUUUGGACAAUGGGCGCAAGCCUGAUCCAGCAAUGCCGCGUGCAGGAAGAAGGCCUUCGGGUUGUAAACUGCUUUUGUACGGAACGAAAAGGCUCUGGUUAAUACCUGGGGCACAUGACGGUACCGUAAGAAUAAGCACCGGCUAACU